UGCCCGGUGAUGACACCCAUCCUUGCUCCCCGUGCCCCCCAGGGGCUGUGGGCGACACAUGGCUGCCCCCGGGCCAGGCUGGUUGGGGCCGGUGCCCGGGGGCUGAGGGCA
rnacentral:snoRNA from 12 species